GCUAACCCUGUUUGAUCCAUGCGCUGACGUCCGAAGCUGCGCCUCCUUACAGAGUGCAGGAAAAGCAGAUCCUCCGGCGUAUUAUGGCGGAGGAGAAGUACAACAGGAAGAACACGGCGGUAAAGCGGAUCCUUCAGGAGAUGAAGGAGAUGCAAUCCAAUGCCUCUGAUGACUUCAUGAGCCUUCCGCUCGAGGUGAUGAUUCCCAAUCCCUGACCGGAACGCUAACCCUCGGUUGCCCUUCUUCUGAGGGAGGGGUAUAUCAUGGGAGGUUCUAAUUACCGGCAGAUUACCCUUUUAAACCUCCUGCGUUCAUGUUGCUAACUCCAAAUGGCCGAUUCGAAACACAAACGAAGAUUUGCUUAAGCAUAUCAAAUCGUCAUCCUCAACACUGACAGCAUCAUGGAGUGUUCGGACAGCCUCAGUAGCCCUAAUUGCUUUCAUGUCAACAAAACCUGAUGGGGCAUUAGGGUCACUAGAAUACACAAAGGAAGAAAGGCAUGUUCUUGCCAUUAGGUCACGGGAAGCAGCUCCCAGAUUUGGCACCCGAGUGGCAGAAACUCAUAGAUGAAAUUCAUCAGUACAUGCUUAGCAAACCACCAAUUGUUCCUCAGCUGUCAUUGCCAUUAACCAUCAAUGAACAACCAAUUGCUCCAUUGAGUGAGGACCCUCAAACAAAUCCUACUAGUUCAGAAGCUGUAGCACCAGUUGAGCGGCCCCCAGUCCCAGAACCAGAUAGGCCUGUAGAAGAUGUGAGGGAACUUCGUUUAAAUGCCACAGCUGGCCACAUAAGAAUAAGCUUCAGAGUGAGGAUUUCAAGAAGGGUACCAGCAACAGUCACAAAUGAGCGGCCUCAGAGACGUGAGGCAAGGGUUCAGAUGCCACUCCUAGAUGAAUGCUUGUUCACUUUGGCUGCCAUUGGGUUGGCCACCGGUAUCAUGGUAGUCUUAGUAUAGAAGUUUCUCAAGUCAAAUGUGCAUGCUCGAUACAUGGAUGCAUCAUAUACUUGUAUGUCUCGUGGCACGGCUUGGUCAUGAUAAUAUUUUGCAGUAUAAAAAGUUUGUUUCCUUUUUCUUCUGGCUUUUGUUUGGUUAACAUUGUUGCUGGCCAUAGAAUGGCAUGCAUAUCUUGUUCAUAUUCCAUGAGUCAGUGGAUAAUCUUGUUCCCUACCAACUCUGUUCUAACGAAUGUCCUCAAUGCAUUGUGGUGGUAACAAUGUUGAUGCAAUUUUACAUGGUCUGCUUAAUGAUGGAUUUUCCAGCUAAUUUCACAGCUUGACAAUCAUAAGUUGAUUGAUGGUUCAAAUUGCUAUUCAGAAUGUUCAGUAAAUUCCAGCCAGCACCGAGAAGAGAAGAUAGCACAUUGCUUUGCUUUCUUUCCCUCCAGUAACACUGAGAGGAUCAAUCUGAGUCCGUAAAAAACAUCAUGUAAGUGUUUCAGUAUGAAUUAAUGCAGAGGUCAGCACAAAAAUUAGUCAUUGAGGUAAUUUUCUCUUGCUAAGCCAACCAUUAGAAUUUGUUUUCCAGUACACAUCAUGAGCUAUUGGUAAGUAGUGAUCUUCCCUUUUCUUUACCCUUGUUGGUCUCCUUUGUAAUCAGAUCAGUGUUUCUUUUUAGGUUGAAAGAAACUUUGUGGAUGAAGAAGCCAACUUGCACUCAUUGGCACAGUCCUCAAUGAGCAAUAAAAGACACCUCCAGAUAGGAGCAGCAAUCAUUCAAGCCACCAAGCAUCAUGAUUUGCUCACAGAGAGCAAUUCAAAGAGUCUCUGAUGCCCGUCACCUUAAUAUUAUCGUUUUCUUGGUUUGCUGCUGACCAUUCUGCAGGUUUCUGCAAGGCCAAGUCUUUUCCUUGUAGCUUUGGCUGACCGUCACUUGUUGAACAGCAAUGACAUCAAACAAUCUGCAGUUUGCGUUCUUAGAUCAAUAAAACAAAACAUUCUUAAAGUCCAAAAAUUACUAUGUUGAUUGCUCGUAACAUUAUGUAAUUCACCUGUCUAGUGUCUCCAUUUUUUUGAAGACAAUAACACAGUAUGUUGGUAUGAUACAAAUAAUGUCUAAUCUGGUAGCUGUCUCCAGCACC